CAGAUUUAAUAGAGCGCUUGUCGUAUACUGUUACUUUAAUAUUGAAUAAACACACUAGAUUACAUGUGGACUUUGAGUCAAGAAACUAAGUAUUCCAUUUAAGGUCUUCAUCUUGGAUGAAUAAAAUGGGUAAGCUAUGCACUGGUCAAUACAUUUUAGAGCCUGCAAGGCUAUAAGCUUUGCCUGCUUGGCAAUGAGGAGGGAGUGCAAACACAGAAAUGUUUGAAAGGCUUAGAGUUCAAUCCACUCAGUGCACAGUUAUUCAGGCCUUUUCACACUGCAUUGUUCUUAGCCCCUGGCUUGCCUUAGCCCUUGGCUAAGACUGACCCUGGGCUAGCUUAGCAUGUGUUCACAUAAGCAGGGCUAACUGAAACCGACUGUCAUUUUUCUGGAGUAGAAUAUUCGAAUUAGGGGACUGUGAUUGGCUCACCCUGGGCUAAGGUUGGCGCUAUCUUAGAUUUAAUAUGUGCAAUAUGUAAGCAGUCGCUUAGCCCUGGGCUAAAAGCUCUCUUAGUCCAGGGCUAAGGAGGGCUAAGCCCUAGGCUAAGUGCAGUGUGAACACUAUUGACAAUUGCAUGACAACUAGAAAAAAGGGGAAAAAUGUGAAAAUAAUAUUUGGUUAUUUUUUUAAAAACAUUUUGAUUACUGGCCGAAUACUUUUAACCACUAGGCUACCUGCCUCCCCCUGUAAAAAAAAAAAAAAAAAUGUUAGGAAAACAAUACCCUAUACAACUCCCUUCUUUCACGGAACAAUGCCUCAUUUGGAUUGCGAAGAGGAUCGUGAAUUGCCAAAGUACAUAUUAGGCGACUUAGAGAAGCCUGGAGACGAGAAGGACAUUAAAGAUGAGGUAGAGUCCCAGUUCCAACAGGGGUUUGAUUAUAGGGGGGUUCGGUUUUACCAAGAGUAGAGUGAUCAUAAUCUACCUUUGGCAUUACAUAAACAAGUUCAUGCUCAGUCUUGUAUCUAUUGGGGUAUUAUUAAGUGUGUGUGUGUGUGUGUGUGUGUGUGUGUGUGUGUGUGUGUGUUCAUGUCUACAAUAAUAGUAUCAGACUAGUUGUGUAUUCACUUAUGGUCCAUAGAAGAUCACCUGUGCUGUC
ensembl:lncRNA